GUCCUUUUCUAGAUCAUAAGCAUGAUUGGGUUUUCACACACUUGUGACAUAUGCUUUCCUCAGAUCUUGUUAUGAUGUGGGCACAUCACCCAUCUGACA
rnacentral:snoRNA from 1 species